GAGGGCGUGCUCAAUGGCAGAGCACAUGCCUAGCAUGCACAAAGUCCUGGGUUCCAUCCCCAGUACCUUCA
rnacentral:tRNA from 1 species